rnacentral:lncRNA from 1 species
CUUUUAGAGUUCUUUAUUUACAGGUUUUCAUCAUUUCUACCUUUGAAUGCAGAGAUUUAUUUUUAAAUUUUAUCUGUUAAAUGAUCAUAAUUAAAUGCAAAUGACUAAUCAGUGACAAGAGUUCAGCUUGGGACAACUUUGGUGCUUUCCCCUCCUAGCUUUCUGUGCUGGCUUUCUCUGGGCAGUUCUUCUUCCUGCUCCAGGUCCAGCUCAGCAGCAUACCAAGCUCUUUCACCGUUGGAGUGUGGAGGAAACAAGGAUCAAUUUCAGUUUCCUUUAAUGCACCGGCCUCUAACUCAUGGCAGCUCAGCAGCUGUUCCUGAGCAGCUGUGGUACCUCUGCUGUGGUGGCAAGAACCCUGGGGAGAAGGGCAGGGCAUGGCACAUUUCCUGGCUGAAGUCAAAGGCACAAGGUGCUGGCCAACACUGAGAUACCAAACUAGAGGGUGGUGCACCCACCAGAUCUGAUGUAUCUAGGAGAUUGUGCAAGUCCAAGCAGCAGCACAAAGCGGCAUGAAGUCAAAUGUAACAUUAAAAAUGCAUUCAGCAUAAUAAGUCAGGUUUUCUUCUGGCUUCCAGCUUUUAAGGGACGAAGUGUAGGAGAUAACAAAGGAGAAGGCAAUGCAACUAUCCUAGUCACAGGAAUGGAUAAAAAUGAAUUAUUUUAAAUGGCAAAAGUCAAUGAGUUUAAUGAAAAUUGAUUUUUAGC